rnacentral:rRNA from 1 species
UUUGAAGUCUUCGGAUGGAUAGAAGAACCCCUGAUGCCGUCGAGCCAAGAAAAGUUUCUAAGUUUAGCUAAUGUUGCCCGUACCGUAAACCGACACAGGUGGGUGGGAUGAGUAUUCUAAGGCGCGUGGAAGAACUCUCUUUAAGGAACUCUGCAAAAUAGCACCGUAUCUUCGGUAUAAGGUGUGGUUAGCUUUGUAUUAGGAUUUACUCCGAAAGCAAGGAAACUUACAACAAAGAGUCCCUCCCGACUGUUUACCAAAAACACAGCACUCUGCUAACUCGUAAGAGGAUGUAUAGGGUGUGACGCCUGCCCGGUGCUCGAAGGUUAAUUGAUGGGGUUAGCAUUAGCGAAGCUCUUGAUCGAAGCCCGAGUAAACGGCGGCCGUAACUAUAACGGUCCUAAGGUAGCGAAAUUCCUUGUCGGUUAAAUACCGACCUGCAUGAAUGGCGUAACGAGAUGGGAGCUGUCUCAAAGAGGGAUCCAGUGAAAUUGUAGUGGAGGUGAAAAUUCCUCCUACCCGCGGCAAGACGGAAAGACCCCGUGGACCUUUACUACAGCUUGACACUGCUACUUGGAUAAGAAUGUGCAGGAUAGGUGGGAGGCUUUGAGUAUAUGACGCCAGUUGUAUAUGAGCCAUUGUUGAGAUACCACUCUUUCUUAUUUGGGUAGCUAACCAGCUUGAGUUAUCCUCAAGUGGGACAAUGUCUGGUGGGUAGUUUGACUGGGGCGGUCGCCUCCCAAAUAAUAACGGAGGCUUACAAAGGUUGGCUCAGAACGGUUGGAAAUCGUUCGUAGAGUAUAAAGGUAUAAGCCAGCUUAACUGCAAGACAUACAAGUCAAGCAGAGACGAAAGUCGGUCUUAGUGAUCCGGUGGUUCUGUGUGGAAGGGCCAUCGCUCAAAGGAUAAAAGGUACCCCGGGGAUAACAGGCUGAUCUCCCCCAAGAGCUCACAUCGACGGGGAGGUUUGGCACCUCGAUGUCGGCUCAUCGCAUCCUGGGGCUGGAGCAGGUCCCAAGGGUAUGGCUGUUCGCCAUUUAAAGCGGUACGCGAGCUGGGUUCAGAACGUCGUGAGACAGUUCGGUCCCUAUCUGCCGUGGGCGUAAGAAGAUUGAAGAGAUUUGACCCUAGUACGAGAGGACCGGGUUGAACAAACCACUGGUGUAGCUGUUGUUCUGCCAAGAGCAUCGCAGCGUAGCUAAGUUUGGAAAGGAUAAACGCUGAAAGCAUCUAAGCGUGAAGCCAACUCUAAGAUGAAUCUUCUCUAAGCUCUCUAGAAGACUACUAGUUUGAUAGGCUGGGUGUGUAAUGGAUGAAAGUCCUUUAGCUGACCAGUACUAAUAGAGCGUUUGGCUUAUCUUU